AAUCCUGUAGGUAUGCGGAGUCGA
rnacentral:siRNA from 1 species